rnacentral:lncRNA from 1 species
GUUGUGGAUGCAUAAGAAAGACUGCACUGGAAGGAAAAAAAUAUAGUCUUCAAGCCCCUUUCUCAUCCACCAGAGACGCUGCGGUUCCAGGACUCCACCUCAAUGGCGGGAAAACCGCAACCUGCACUGCUGCUGCUAAGUCACUUCAGUCGUGCCCGACUCUGUGCGACCCCAUAGACGGCAGCCCACCAGGCUCCCCUGUCCCUGGGAUUCUCCAGGCAAGAACACUGGAGUGGGUUGCCAUUUCCUUCUCCAAUGCAUGAGAGUGAAAAAUGAAAGUGAAGUUGCUCAGUCGUGUCCGACUCUUAGCGACCCCAUGGACUGUGUAGCCCACCAGGCUCCUCCAUCCAUGGGAUUUUCCAGGCAAGAGUACUAGAGUGGGGUGCCAUUGCCUUCUCCGGCAACCUGCACUGCACACGCCCAACUCAGUGAGCAUGCGCAGUGUGUGCGGGCGCAUCCGUUGCUGCGCAUGCGCCUUGGUGCGCAUACGCCUUCCUGAGCGAUCUGUGAGGAGCGUUGGGCGUGAGACGGGUCUGUUUAUUCAGUCCCGGUUCUUUCUCACUACUUGAGACUCACCAGGGAGAAAUAUGAGUGGGCAAGUGGCAUCAAAAUUGGGACCUACAAAUCAAGAUUGCGCCCAGGUGGAUGAACCUGUGGUUCCCAGUGUUGAGCAACCUCAACAAGAGGAACCGCCAGCUGAGAUUCAGGAUAUCACACCUAGAAAGGAGGAAGUACAUGGAGAGGAUCCAGUGAAUCGUGAUGAAGAAGAGGAGAAGGAUCCCUUUGAAGAUUCUGGCCUGGAAGCUGAUCUCCAGCAAUUGGCUCUGGCAAAGACUGGGGGUGAAGGUGGAGAUGGUCCUGAUGUCAGGGAGGAGUUUGCAUCAAAUACAGAGCCUGGUGAAAUGCCAGAAGCAGGUAUGUCAUCCAUUCAGAAAGUAAUUUAUGUGGUUUCUGUUUUUCAGAAUAUUAUAUCUUUACUAAUAUAGAGGGAACAUUACUAUUAUUUUAAUAAUAGAGUUCACAUAUUCUUUGAAAGAUAGUUCAGACCCCAGAUGCCUGAGUGCCUGACUUAUAGACUUCAAAUAAAGAAACGGACAGGAUCA